AUAUAGGGUGGUGUAAAAUGUCAAAUAGCCCAAUCAGCCAUGCUGUUACAUUGUUUACAAAACAAGAACGGAUCAAAGUGCAUCAAGCGCACAGGUAUCACGGUAAUUUUAUAUUAUUGAGUGACUGAAUAAUUUCGGUUCAGGGAAAGUAUUUAAAAGGUGUGUUCAACGAAACCCAAUCGAAAUCAAUUGAAAUGGAUUGACAGUUGAUCAGCUGUUUUUCCAAUUGACUUCGAUCGAUUUCAAUUGGGCUGUUGAUUGAACAGCUACACACUAAUACUAAUGCGUUUAGUUUGUUGUCAUUUUCUAUUCGACUGAGCUCUCCAGCAUUCGUAGUUCAAGAAAUAUGUUAAAAAAUAUGGAAUAAUAAAUCAUAUCCCGAAUAGCAAGAACCAUGGUAUUACAUUCAUUUUCCAAUGAAUUCGAAGGUUACCAUGUAUUUCAUAGUAAAAAGUACAUCCUAUAGCUUUUAGUACAAAAAUUUACGCAUUUCCAAUUUUUCGUGUAUGGUUUUGACAGCCGCGUCAACUUUGUUUUGCUCAAACAAUUUUCGGUCGGCAUAUUCGUCAUCAACAUUUUUCGAUGGGUUUUCUGCAAAAAUAUUCAACAAUCUAUUGUUGAUAUGAUUAAAUCGCACGGAGGACAAAAUUUGCGGACUGCAAACGUUGGCCAUCACCAACCAGAGCAAUAUCAACAUCAGUGCUGCGGUUGAAACUGCGAUCUGGUCAUAAUUGCUGCCUCAUUCUUGGUAGAUCCGGAUCAGAGCAUUCGGCAUGCCAAGAAACGGAAUCUUCUUUCUACUCUGGAAGCCAUGUUUUCAAUCGAAACAUGCAGGAUCACUGGACGAAAAGUGAGACACUAUCCAGCAAGCGGCCAACAUGUUGUGGAAACUCUGAGAGUACUUCCGUUACAAUAAUUUUAAGCUCUGCAUUACAAUAAAACUUUAAUAAACCAAAAAAGUUUCUUUAUUUAUGCGCCUUGAAGAAAAACCCUACCCUUCAUGAAAAAAUCUAAAAUGAAUCUACUCAUGAUCAAUAUGGAAAAUAAAUAAUUAUUAACAUAAUAUUAUCAAAUAAAACUAAAUUUAUUUGGUGUCAUAUCGGACAGAUACAAGGACAACAUCCAGUUCAAAUUUGCAUUUGCUUUGCAAUUUUUCAUCAUUUGCUGCAGCAAGCACACCGACUGAUGCCACCAACACAGCACCGACCGAUGCUACCAGCGCCGCACCAUCGAACACGGACCACACCACCGAACACGGACCACACCACCGAACAAGGAUCACACCAACCAAGCUGCAGCAACUGACACCAUAACACUGUACCACCGAUUGACUCCACUUUCACUUGCACUGCACGAUUCACAUCCACGUCACAUGCAACAGAAGUUGAAACAAACCAAACCAGCUGUUUUUGACAGUAAACAACUGCAUGUGUGUUAGUGUAAUAGAAAUCGAUAGAAACGAAUCCUGCCUCCGAGCUUGAUCGUUUUCGAUUGGUUUCGAUCGAUUUCGAUUGGCUUGAUUGAACGUCAAUUGGAUUAGUUUCGACCAAAAUAUUCAAUUGGCUGUUGAACGCGCUUAAACAUUGUUUUUAUGUUUUGUAUUUAUUUAUCUAUUUUAUUCCCCUUUAGGUUGGUUUCUACCGGUGCUGAAAAAGAUAAGAAAGCUGUGUGUGGCACGCACGAAGAAAAGGGAGGCGUAUCGCGAAAAAUAAUCAUAAAAAAGAGUCGACGACAAAAGAUGAUAGGUGUGUUCAACAAAACUCAAUCGAAAUCAAUUGAAAUGGAUUGACAGUUGAUCAGCUGUUUUUCCAAUUGACUUCGAUCGAUUUCUAUCAGGCUGCUGAAUGAACAGCCAGACACUAAUACUAAAACGCUGUGUUUGUUGCCAUCUGUCAUUUUCUUAUUUAUGAAUAAGAAAUACUGCAGCUGUGCGCUUCGAGGUUUCAGGAUUCUUAACUUAUAAAAAAGCAGCCGUUUUUCCUCCUUGUUUAUAAAAUAGAUACCAACAAAGCAUCGGGAAAAACUUGUAUAAAAACGAUGUCCAGAACACAUGAAUUCUUUCGUUGUCUACCUGCGCGUUCCUCAUCCAAAGCCUGAAGAUAAGGUUUCCGCCAAGAUAGAUGAGCUGCCAAAACAAGAGGGUAGGCAGAAAAAACGAUUCCGGAUUCCGGAACUGAAGGAAGUGUACUCACACCCAAAAUAAUUUGCACAUAGCUGCUACGUGAAAAACUACAUAAUUUUUAUCCAAUUGAUUUUCACGUAAAUUGUACGAAUAA